GAAUUCAACUCCUACGGGAGGCAGCAGUGGGGAAUUUUGGACAAUGGGCGCAAGCCUGAUCCAGCAAUGCCGCGUGAGUGAAGAAGGCCUUCGGGUUGUAAAGCUCUUUUGUCAGGGAAGAAACGGCUGUGGCUAAUAUCCAUGGCUAAUGACGGUACCUGAAGAAUAAGCACCGGCUAUCUACGUGCCAGCAGCCGCGGUAAUACGUAGGGUGCAAGCGUUAAUCGGAAUUACUGGGCGUAAAGCGUGCGCAGGCGGUUUUGUAAGUCUGACGUGAAAUCCCCGGGCUCAACCUGGGAAUUGCGUUGGAGACUGCAAGGCUGGAGUCUGGCAGAGGGGGGUAGAAUUCCACGUGUAGCAGUGAAAUGCGUAGAGAUGUGGAGGAACACCGAUGGCGAAGGCAGCCCCCUGGGUCAAGACUGACGCUCAUGCACGAAAGCGUGGGGAGCAAACAGGAUUAGAAACCCUUGUAGUCCAGGCGUU
rnacentral:rRNA from 1 species